GGGGGUGUGGCCCAGCGGGCUAGGGCGUCCGUUUCAUCCCGGGGGGGGGGGGGUUUCGCCCCCCCCCACCGCCACUA
rnacentral:tRNA from 1 species